UCGGGAUAACACCUGGAAACAGAUGCUAAUACCGGAUAACAACAGAUGAUGCCUAUCAACUUAGUUUAAAAAGAUGGUUCUGCUAUCACUCUUGGAUGGACCUGCGGUGCAUUAGCUAGUUGGUAGGGUAACGGCCUACCAAGGCGAUGAUGCAUAGCCGAGUUGAGAGACUGAUCGGCCACAUUGGGACUGAGACACGGCCCAAACUCCUACGGGAGGCAGCAGUG
rnacentral:rRNA from 1 species